AGACGUAGGGGGCGAGCGUUGUCCGGAAUUACUGGGCGUAAAGAGCACGUAGGCGGGUAAGAAAGUCAGAUGUGAAAGACCGUGGCUUAACUACGGGGUUGCAUCUGAAACUGCUAAUCUUGAGGGCAGGAGAGGUCAGUGGAAUUCCUGGUGUAGCGGUGAAAUGCGUAGAAAUCAGGAGGAACACCGGUGGCGAAGGCGACUGACUGGACUGACCCUGACGCUGAGGUGCGAAAGCGUGGGUAGCAAACAGGAUUAGAUACCCUGGUAGUCCACGCUGUAAACGAUGGAUACUAGGUGUGGGAGGUAUCGACCCCUUCCGUGCCGGAGCAAACGCAAUAAGUAUCCCGCCUGGGGAGUACGGUCGCAAGGCUGAA
rnacentral:rRNA from 1 species